rnacentral:tRNA from 1 species
AUUUUAGUGUAUGUGGCAUAUGAAAUUUUGAUUUUCAAGGAUUUAGUUAAAUUCUAAGGAGUAUAA